CUCUUAGAUGCUCUGGGCCGCACGCGCGCUACACUGGUCGAUGCAACGAGUUUCUUUCCUUGGCCGACAGGCCUGGGCAAUCUUUGAACAUCGAUCGUGAUCGGGAUAGAUUCUUGUAAUUUUUGAUCUUAAACGAGGAAUUCCUAGUAAACGCAAGUCAUCAGCUUGCAUUGAUUACGUCCCUGCCCUUUGUACACACCGCCCGUCGCACCUACCGAUUGAAUGGUCCGGUGAAAUCUCCGGACUGGCGUGAGUCGGAGCAAUCUGACAAACACCGGAAAGUUGAUUAAACCUUACCAUUUAGAGGAAGGUGAAGUCGUAACA
rnacentral:rRNA from 1 species